AAUAUUGCACAAUGUAGGAAACUCUGAUGCAGCGACGCAGCGUGAACGAUGAAGGCUUUCGGGUCGUAAAGUUCUGUCCUUGGGGACGAUAAUGACGGUACCCAAGGAGGAAGCUCCGGCUAACUACGUGCCAGCAGCCGAGGGAAUACGCAGGGGGCAAGCGUUGUCCGGAUUUAUUGGGCGUAAAGGGUGCGUAGGCGGCCAUUUAAGUCAGAUGUGAAAGAUCACGGCUCAACCGUGGUAGCAUUUGAAACUGAAAGGCUUGAGUUAAGGAGAGGAAAGUGGAAUUCCUAGUGUAGCGGUGAAAUGCGUAGAUAUUAGGAGGAAUACCAGUGGCGAAGGCGACUUUCUGGACUUAUACUGACGCUGAGGCACGAAAGCGUGGGGAGCGAACA
rnacentral:rRNA from 1 species